rnacentral:rRNA from 1 species
UACAUGCAAGUCGUACGCACUGGCCCAACUGAUUGAUGGUGCUUGCACCUGAUUGACGAUGGAUCACCAGUGAGUGGCGGACGGGUGAGUAACACGUAGGUAACCUGCCCCGGAGCGGGGGAUAACAUUUGGAAACAGAUGCUAAUACCGCAUAACAACAAAAGCCACAUGGCUUUUGUUUGAAAGAUGGCUUUGGCUAUCACUCUGGGAUGGACCUGCGGUGCAUUAGCUAGUUGGUAAGGUAAUGGCUUACCAAGGCGAUGAUGCAUAGCCGAGUUGAGAGACUGAUCGGCCACAAUGGAACUGAGACACGGUCCAUACUCCUACGGGAGGCAGCAGUAGGGAAUCUUCCACAAUGGGCGCAAGCCUGAUGGAGCAACACCGCGUGAGUGAAGAAGGGUUUCGGCUCGUAAAGCUCUGUUGUUGGAGAAGAACGUGCGUGAGAGUAACUGUUCACGCAGUGACGGUAUCCAACCAGAAAGUCACGGCUAACUACGUGCCAGCAGCCGCGGUAAUACGUAGGUGGCAAGCGUUAUCCGGAUUUAUUGGGCGUAAAGCGAGCGCAGGCGGUUGCUUAGGUCUGAUGUGAAAGCCUUCGGCUUAACCGAAGAAGUGCAUCGGAAACCGGGCGACUUGAGUGCAGAAGAGGACAGUGGAACUCCAUGUGUAGCGGUGGAAUGCGUAGAUAUAUGGAAGAACACCAGUGGCGAAGGCGGCUGUCUGGUCUGCAACUG